UGGCAUGGAUUUAUUACGACUGGGGAUAACCCCUUCAAACAAUUAAAACAAAGUUAUGUUAGGAACGGGAGGAGAACCUCAUCCUAACAUAACUGAAAUGAAAGUCUGAUUAUCUUGAGAUCGGAUUGAGGGAGAGGCCUUACAAUGCCCUAAUGUGCCCCCACAGCCAUAUCAGGAACAGGAGGAGAACCUCGUCCUGACAUGAGCA
rnacentral:lncRNA from 1 species